GAUGAACGCUAGCUACAGGCUUAACACAUGCAAGUCGAGGGGAAACGAUAGAGAAAGCUUGCUUUUUCUAGGCGUCGACCGGCGCACGGGUGAGUAACGCGUAUCCAACCUGCCCACCACUUGGGGAUAACCUUGCGAAAGUAAGACUAAUACCCAAUGACGUCUCUAGAAGACAUCUGAAAGAGAUUAAAGAUUUAUCGGUGAUGGAUGGGGAUGCGUCUGAUUAGCUUGUUGGCGGGGUAACGGCCCACCAAGGCGACGAUCAGUAGGGGUUCUGAGAGGAAGGCCCCCCANAUUGGAACUGAGACACGGUCCAAAACUCCUACGGGAGGCAGCAGUGAGGAAUAUUGGUCAAUGGGGCGAGAGCCUGAACCAGCCAAGUAGCGUGAAGGAUGACUGCCCUAUGGGUUGUAAACUUCUUUUAUAAGGGAAUAAAGUGAGUCUCGUGAGACUUUUUGCAUGUACCUUAUGAAUAAGGACCGGCUAAUUCCGUGCCAG
rnacentral:rRNA from 1 species